rnacentral:tRNA from 1 species
GCAAACUCUUGGUGCAAUGGGUCAGUGCAUCUGGCUGUUAACCAGAAGGUUGGUAGUUCAAAUCCACCCAGGGACA